rnacentral:rRNA from 1 species
UGAGAAACCUGCCCUGGACUUGGGAAUAACAGUCGGAAACGUCUGCUAAUACCGAAUACCUUCGUAGCGUCGCAUGGCGCAUCGAAGAAAGCUUUUGCGGUCUGGGAGGGUCUCGCGGCCUAUCAGCUAGUUGGUGAGGUAACGGCUCACCAAGGCAUCGACGGGUAGCUGGUCUGAGAGGGUNAUCGGCCACACUGGGACUGAGACACGGCCCAGACUCCGUACGGG